ACAAAAUGGACGAGUUGAGCGCAAACAUCAUCACAUUCUCAAUGUAGCUUGGGCAUUGAUGUUUCAAGCUUCACUUCCGAUAGAUUUUUGGGGAGAAUGUGUUUCUGCUGCGGCACACCUCAUUAAUCUCACGCCUUCGAAUAUUUUAUCAGGCAAGAUACCAUUCGAACUCAUUUUUCGUAAGAAGCCAGAUUAUAGACACAUUCGUAUUUUCGGAUGUCUAUGUUAUGCACAUCAUAACCCUCGACUCAAGGAUAAACUUGGGUCACAUUCAAGAAGGUGCAUUUUUAUUGGGCACCCAUUUGGAAAGAAUUGUUAGAAAGUUUAUGACUUGGAGAACCGUGAGGUUUUUGUUUCUAGAGAUGUUAAAUUCAGUAAGACCGAUUUUCCUUUCAGCAAUUCGGCUUCAUCCAGUUCGGUCAGUUCGGGCGUCCGAUUUUUGGAUAAUUUGGGCUCAAGGGGAGUUUAGGAAGAGUUCAGCCCAAUUGAGUUUCAGGGGGAGUUCAGGCCAAUUGAGCCCAAAUCAGAACACCAUAUGCCCAGUCCAUCUGCGCCCAGAUCCGCCGAGCCCAUUAUCACUAAGCCAAAUCCAAUAGAGCCCAGUAGAGUCACUAGGCUUCAUUUGGUCCAAAAUAAUUCCACUAAGCCCAGUCUGCCUAACUCUGUUGUGCCUGCUGAUUUGUCCAACCCGAUUUCUUUUGCUGACCCGGCAUCUACUUCAUCUACCGAUCCGACAGCUAUAUCCGACCUGGUAUCUUCUUCAACAGACGGUAUAGCUCGUUCAAAGGCUCCGCGAAAUAUUCACAAACCAAGUUAGCUUAAUGAUUUUGUCUCUCAUACUGCUCGUUGUUUCAAUUCUCCCCUAUCAUAUCACCCACUCCAUCACACUCUCCAGAGCUAAGGACUUACUCUCAAGCUGCCAAGGAUCACAUAUGGCGCCUCCCCAUGGCCGAUGAAAUUCACGCUCUUGAGGAGAACUGCACCUAGACCAUUCAAUCACUCCCUCCCGAGAAAAAACCCAUCGGUUGUAAGUGGGUUUUUAAGAUUAAACGAUGGGCCGAUGGCACUGUGGAACGCUACAAAGCUCGGCUCGUGGCCAAAGGUUUCAAUCAAGUUGAAGGCGUCGAUUUUCACGAGACUUUUGUGCUAGUAGCAAAAUUGGUCACGGUAUGCCGUUUGCGAAAGUCAUUAUGUGGUCUUCGUCAAGCCUCUCGCAACUGGUAUUCCAAAUUUGCCACAGCUCUCAUUCAAUAUGGAUUUCAACAGUCCGAGACUGAUCAUUCUUUGUUCAUCUUCUCUUAUGGUGGCAUAUUUCUUACGGUCCUAGUUUAUGCGGAAGAUAUGAUUCUUGUAGCUAAUGAUUCUAUCUCAUGCACCAAUUUCAAGAAUUAUCUUAACCAGUGCUUUCGCAUUAAGGAUCUUGGUGCCUUAUUCUAUUUUUUGGGCAUCGAUAUUAUUCGCAGUAGUUCCGGUCUCUUUCUCAAUCAACGAAGGUACACUUUAGAUAUUCUUACUAAGGCUGGUAUGCUGGGCUCUCAGCCUGCUUAUUUCUCUAUGGAACAACUGCACCAAUUGUCUACAGAUA